CACGUAGGGCGCAAGCGUUGUCCGGAAUUAUUGGGCGUAAAGAGCUCGUAGGCGGCUUGUCACGUCGGGUGUGAAAGCCCGGGGCUUAACCCCGGGUCUGCAUUCGAUACGGGCAGGCUAGAGUGUGGUAGGGGAGAUCGAAUUCCUGGUGUAGCGGUGAAAUGCGCAGAUAUCAGGAGGAACACCGGUGGCGAAGGCGGAUCUCUGGGCCAUUACUGACGCUGAGGAGCGAAAGCGUGGGGAGCGAACAGG
rnacentral:rRNA from 1 species